rnacentral:rRNA from 1 species
UACGUAGGGUCCAAGCGUUAUCCGGAAUCACUGGGCGUAAAGCGUCCGCAGGCGGCGCGUUAAGUGAGAUGCGAAAUCUUGUGGCUCAACCAUAUAGACUGUAUCUCAUACUGACGUGCUAGAGGAUGGCAGAGGCAAGUGGAAUUUCUGGUGUAGCAGUGAAAUGCGUAGAUAUCAGAAGGAACACCAAUGGCGAAGGCAGCUUGCUGGGCCAUAUCUGACGCUCAUGGACGAAAGCGUGGGGAGCGAACAGG